UACGUAGGGUGCGAGCGUUAAUCGGAAUUACUGGGCGUAAAGCGUGCGCAGGCGGUUUUGUAAGCCAGAUGUGAAAUCCCCGGGCUCAACCUGGGAAUGGCAUUUGGGACUGCAAGGCUUGAGUGCGGCAGAGGAGACUGGAAUUCCUGGUGUAGCAGUGAAAUGCGUAGAUAUCAGGAGGAAUACCGAUGGCGAAGGCAGGUCUCUGGGCUGACACUGACGCUCAUGCACGAAAGCUAGGGGAGCGAACGGG
rnacentral:rRNA from 1 species